rnacentral:rRNA from 1 species
CCUACGGGAGGCAGCAGUGAGGAAUAUUGGUCAAUGGGCGGGAGUCUGAACCAGCCAAGCCGCGUGCGGGAAGACGGUCCUAUGGAUUGUAAACCUCUUUUGUCCGGGAGCAAAAGUGAACACGCGUGUUCAGCUGAGAGUACCCGAAGAAAAAGCAUCGGCUAACUCCGUGCCAGCAGCCGCGGUAAUACGGAGGAUGCGAGCGUUAUCCGGAUUUAUUGGGUUUAAAGGGUGCGUAGGCGGAUGAUAAAGUUAGCGGUAAAAUUGCGGGGCUCAACCCCGAACAGCCAUUGAAACUGGUGGUCUUGAGUGUGGGAGAAGUAGGCGGAAUGCGUGGUGUAGCGGUGAAAUGCAUAGAGAUCACGCAGAACUCCGAUUGCGAAGGCAGCAUACCGGCGCCCAUCUGACGCUGAGGCACGAAAGCGUGGGUAUCGAACAGGAUUAGAUACCCUUGUAGUC